AACUUUGCACAGUGGCAGUAUCAUACCAAUGAGGUUUAUCCGAGGCACGAUUAUUGCUAAUUGAAAACUUUUUGACUGAAUGCCUGAUCCCUGCAAAUAAAGCCUUUUUACAUAAAA
rnacentral:snRNA from 1 species